GACAGGCAGGGGAGAGGUGGGAAAGAGGAGAAGGGAGAGAGAAAGAGAGUAUGAGUGUGUGACAGGCAGGGGAGAGGUGGGAAAGAGGAGAAGGGAGAGAGAAAGAGAGUAUGAGUGUGUGACAGGCAGGGGAGAGGUGGGAAAGAGGAGGAGGGAGAGAGAAAGAGAGUAUGAGUGUGUGGCAGGCAGGGGAGAGGUGGGAAAGAGGAGGAGGGAGAGAGAAAGAGAGUAUGAGUGUGUGGCAGGCAGGGGAGAGGUGGGAAAGAGGAGAAGGGAGAGAGAAAGAGAGUAUGAGUGUGUGACAGGCAGGGGAGAGGUGGGAAAGAGGAGGAGGGAGAGAGAAAGAGAGUAUGAGUGUGUGACAGGCAGGGGAGAGGUGGGAAAGAGGAGAAGAGAGAGAGAAAGAGAGUAUGAGUGUGUGACAGGCAGGGGAGAGGUGGGAAAGAGGAGGAGGGAGAGAGAAAGAGAGUAUGAGUGUGUGACAGGCAGGGGAGAGGUGGGAAAGAGGAGGAGGGAGAGAGAAAGAGAGUAUGAGUGUGUGACAGGCAGGGGAGAGGUGGGAAAGAGGAGGAGGGAGAGAGAAAGAGAGUAUGAGUGUGUGACAGGCAGGGGAGAGGUGGGAAAGAGGAGGAGGGAGAGAGAAAGAGAGUAUGAGUGUGUGGCAGGCAGGGGAGAGGUGGGAAAGAGGAGGAGGGAGAGAGAAAGAGAGUAUGAGUGUGUGACAGGCAGGGGAGAGGUGGGAAAGAGGAGGAGGGAGAGAGAAAGAGAGUAUGAGUGUGUGACAGGCAGGGGAGAGGUGGGAAAGAGGAGAAGGGAGAGAGAAAGAGAGUAUGAGUGUGUGACAGGCAGGGGAGAGGUGGGAAAGAGGAGAAGGGAGAGAGAAAGAUAGUAUGAGUGUGUGACAGGCAGGGGAGAGGUGGGAAAGAGGAGAAGAGAGAGAGAAAGAUAGUAUGAGUGUGUGAGAGUUGCACCAUUUUCUGAGACUUGAGACCAGUUUGGAAAGACACAGUAUUUACAUGUAACUCCCUGCUUGGAUACUCUGUAACAGAUCCGUAUUUUCUCUCUCCCUUGAAGUAAUCACUGAUCUAACAUGACUGGGUCUGAAGGACAGCUUGUACCAGGACUGUAGUUACCACAACAUAUAAGGAAAGGUUUACUUCCAACUGGGCCUAGGUUUACCAUGGGGGAGG